UCUACAUAACCUAGCGGCGGACGGGUGAGUAACACGUAGGCAACCUGCCCACAAGACAGGGAUAACUACCGGAAACGGUAGCUAAUACCCGAUACAUCCUUUUCCUGCAUGGGAGAAGGAGGAAAGACGGAGCAAUCUGUCACUUGUGGAUGGGCCUGCGGCGCAUUAGCUAGUUGGUGGGGUAAAGGCCUACCAAGGCGACAAUCCGUAGCCGACCUGAAAGGGUGAUCGGCCACACUGGGACUGAGACACGGCCCAGACUCCUACGGGAGGCAGCAGUAGGGAAUCUUCCGCAAUGGGCGAAAGCCUGACGGAGCAACGCCGCGUGAGUGAUGAAGGUUUUCGGAUCGGAGAGCUCUGUUGCCAGGG
rnacentral:rRNA from 1 species